rnacentral:rRNA from 1 species
AUGAACUCGUAUCGCACUGAUUGAUCUAUCUUGGGUGCUGGCCACUUGGCGUCUUCUGGUACACGGAUGGUUUUGUAACCUUGGCUUUUGUACAGUCGCAGCGCGGCGAGGUUACUUACAUCGCAGUGCAAGGCCACUGACCGGCAUCCCCAGCUCCUUGCUCGCGCCUCGGCUUCCGCGACGAGCAUUUUAGCAAUUCCUUUUCGACGCUCCUCCUUCCGAACCGCGACGUUUGCUAUGUAUGCAAUUCCUGUUCUGCAUAAAUUUGGAAGGAACUAG